UUUCUUACAUCGACUUGAGUAGACAAUCAACUGACCGUAGCGGGCGCUAAAUUGUUUUCGACCAGUUUGUUGUCUAUUCGAGCCCGUGUAUGUAUAUUCU